AUUGCUGGGAGUUAUUGGAAGUGCCUGGGGGCUUUCUGCCUGCAGCAGGAGGCUGCUCAGCUCACACCCUGAUUUUUGGGGGCCACCGCAGUGAUGGUGCUGGGCUUCUAAUCUGAUUUUUUUGGUUGCUGGUUUCUGCUGGCCUCCUUUGCCCUGUUUUUUUGGAGCCAGCUGUUGCUGCCAGGCUCAGAGCUUACUUUUCUGGGGCAAGAAUAAAGUUGCAGUUCCUGGGUUCUCAUGCUUUUUGAGGCUAGUGCAUGUUGACUGUGCAGUGCUUUUGCAGACUGAUUUCCAGCAGGGAGGCUGGGGUGGAGUUUGUGGGUGCUGCAGCUCCUCCUGCUUGCAGUGAUGGAGGGUGAUGGCUGUAGCGGGGCCUCUUGCAGUAAGGAUCAGCCCAAAUCUGUGAGCAGUUCUGGCAGCGAUGGGACCAUGGAGGCUGAGUGCUAGGGAUCCAGGGGUGUGCACUCCUUCCCCCACCAUGGGGUCUACUUCUGAGUGUCAUGCACUGGGGGGCUCCAAGAUAGUAAGGAUGCAGCAGAUACAUGAGAAGACUUUCACGAGCCUUCACAUUCAGGCUCACUCCAGAUGAUCUUUAUCUUUCCUGAAGAGUGUGAUAUCCACAGCUGGACACAGCACUCUGAGUGAGUGCUUAUAUACGCUACCUCUGACUGCAUUAGACAGUCUUUAUUCCUACAAUGCUCAGCUCUGAGGUUGAAUCAUCAUUAAAACACAUACUUCCAUGGAAUAAUAUAGAAUAUGAAACAAAACAUGUAGAUGGCAAAGUGAGGUUCUCUAGGAGCCUUCUUUUAGUUUUUGGUUGAAUUGAAACUUUUCAGUAAAUACCAGUAACUGAUGAGAUGAAUGAGAAUGGAUGACGUAUACGGAAAAGGUGAAAGGUACCAACUGCUUUUGUUAGAAAGCUCGUACUAAACAAAAUGUGGCAGCAUGUGGGAAGAGUUAAAAGGCAUUCUGUCAGUCCCAGGGGCAGGUAGAAGGAACUAGAAUUUGACAUGGAAGUGGAAAGGAAAAUAAUUAAAGGGCGUGGACAAUUAAUAUACCUACCUACCUACUUAGUGCUGUUUCCAUUUGGAGUACUUCUGGUGAUUGCAUCCUACAGCAUGAAGAAUUAAAUCCUUUACUCUUACUCUAAACAAAACUAAGCCAGAUAUCAGUGCAUUGGUUGUGUUUUUAGUUGCUUCUUCAAAGCAGGAGUACCUACAGACUCAGGAACACAAUCUUGUUUGCUGGAGAAUAGCAGUGUAGAGAAUAAACCUUACAUUGCCUUCCAGCAACUAUAUACUACUUGGCUCCUUGAUUAGAAAAAAUGGAGACCACUGUGGGAUCAAAUGGUUUUUGCACUUCAUUUGGAUGUGUGCUAUGAGGUCCAGCCAGCACCCAAGCUUUCUUGAGUCCAAGUCAGGAGGGCAGAUUCCUGUUUCUGUCACUGGACACUUGGAAAGAACCAGUACAAGUAUUUCUCCUCUCAGUCAAGGAACUGAAACUUAAGGAAUGAAAAACUGACAAGAGAAUGAAAGCGAUGACUGCACUCAGAGAAGGAAAAUCUGUUAAAAGCAAGACGUAGUCAUUUUGCUUUCCUGGAUUUCUUUAAAGCAAACCUAUUUAUGAAACAAGAUAACAUAGUCUACAGGGAUCCACUUUACCGCAGCAGUAGUUUGGCUGAAAGGAAUCCACUGUUUGCUUACCCCCAUUCCCAUCACUCACGCUUUCCUGACAGUUUGCAGAUCAGCUCACUGCCACAAGAAAUGGGUCAGCAUAGCAGCACAGCAUCACAUGCCCUAGAUCAGGGAGGACUUGAAUGCCUAUCUGAGCCUUCUCAGCACGCUCUGGACACCAACAUGCAGCCAGCUUUUUGCCUAGCACAGCCUGCUACUCAUCUGUGCUUAGGGCACAGUGAUGGAUUGGGUGGCUACUGCUGAAGAGAGUAAUCGCUCCCUGUGUUUAAACAGAUCGCAGAUCUGGAAUCCCAUCUGAUUCACCCCCAGCUUGUUGUACUUCCUUUUGAGUCAUUUUUGACAGAUUAGACCUUUUUACCUCUUCAGAAUGGAAGCUUUCAUUGUCCUUGUGUUACAUCUCAUUAUGGUUACCAUACAUGUAGGCAGAUGACCUCAGGCAAAAAUGGAGUCUUUCAAUAAAUUGGCAUAUUUACUGACUG
ensembl:lncRNA